rnacentral:rRNA from 1 species
CCUACGGGAGGCAGCAGUGAGGAAUAUUGGUCAAUGGCCGAGAGGCUGAACCAGCCAAGUCGCGUGAGGGAAGACGGCCCUACGGGUUGUAAACUGCUUUUGUACGAGGGUAAACGCAGAUACGCGUAUCUGUCUGAAAGUAUCGUACGAAUAAGGAUCGGCUAACUCCGUGCCAGCAGCCGCGGUAAUACGGAGGAUUCAAGCGUUAUCCGGAUUUAUUGGGUUGAAAGGGUGCGUAGGCGGUCGGAUAAGUUAGAGGUGAAAUCCCGAGGCUCAACUUCGGAAUUGCCUCUGAUACUGUUCGACUAGAGAGUAGUUGCGGUAGGCGGAAUGUAUGGUGUAGCGGUGAAAUGCUUAGAGAUCAUACAGAACACCGAUUGCGAAGGCAGCUUACCAAGCUACUUCUGACGUUGAGGCACGAAAGCGUGGGGAGCAAACAGGAUUAGAUACCCGAGUAGUC